CAAACAUGUGUUUACUCAUGUGUGUUUACUGUGCGUAACAUCACCAAUUCUCCAUGUUUAAGAUGACAGACACACUCCCCUGGACAUUAUCAAGAUGUACUUUACAAAGGGUGCUGUGGAAGCCCUGCUGUGGAGGCCAGGGACCUCUGAUUGAGUGAAGGAGCAGCCUGGAAAAAACACAGAGAUGCCUACAGCAUCACCAGUAAAACCAUAAGCCAUGCAGUCACAGGAUCAAAGAGAAGGAUGGCUCUGGAUGGAUCCUGAAAUGGAGCACCACCAUUCACUGCAGCUUGAGCCUCCUUCUCUACCAUGCUCUUAGCUCCUCCCUUUCCUCUCUCAGGGUGACAACACUUCUGAUUGUGUUUCUUAAAGUUACAGACCCACAUUUUAAAGGUGUAUUCUCAAUUCACCACCUGGCUACA
rnacentral:lncRNA from 1 species